rnacentral:rRNA from 1 species
UAGGUGUAGGAGGCGAACCCGGGGAACUGAAACAUCUAAGUACCCGGAGGAAAAGAAAUCAAUUGAGAUUCCCACAGUAGCGGCGAGCGACCUGGGAUCAGCCCUAAAGAACUUGGUGUGAUAGCGGAACGGUCUGGAAAGUCCGGCAAUAGAGGGUGAUAGCCCCGUACGCGAAAUCUAUCCUUGUUUUAUUCGAGUAGGUCGGGACACGUGUUAUCUUGACUGAACAUGGGGGGACCAUCCUCCAAGGCUAAAUACUACUGACUGACCGAUAGUGAACCAGUACCGUGAGGGAAAGGCGAAAAGAACCCCGGAGAGGGGAGUGAAAUAGAACCUGAAACCGUAUGCGUACAAGCAGUGGGAGCACCUUCGUGGUGUGACUGCGUACCUUUUGUAUAAUGGGUCAGCGACUUAUUGUCUGUAGCAAGCUUAACCGUUUAGGGGAGGCGUAGGGAAACCGAGUCUUAAUAGGGCGCAUAGUUGCAGGCAAUAGACCCGAAACCGGGCGAUCUAUCCAUGGCCAGGUUGAAGGUGCCGUAACAGGCACUGGAGGACCGAACCCACUAACGUUGAAAAGUUAGGGGAUGAGCUGUGGAUCGGAGUGAAAGGCUAAUCAAGCUCGGAGAUAGCUGGUUCUCCUCGAAAUCUAUUUAGGUAGAGCGUCGUGUCUUACCCUGAGGGGUAGAGCACUGU